rnacentral:sRNA from 1 species
GGAUGUUGUCCCGGGAGCUCUCCCUCUACCUGGAACACCAAGUCCGGGUGGGGUUCUUCGGCUCGGGGGUGGGCUUAUCCCUGAUCCUGGGCUUCAGUGUCGCUUAUGCCUGCUACUACCUGAGCAGCAUUGCCAAGAAACCCCAGUUAGUGACGGGGGGUGAGAGUUUCAGCCGCUUCCUUCAAGACCACUGUCCGGUGGUUACAGAAACGUACUAUCCGACGGUCUGGUGCUGGGAGGGUCGAGGACAGACCCUGCUUAGACCUUUCAUCACUUCGAAGCCCCCGGUGCAGUACAGGAAUGAACUUAUUAAAACUGCAGAUGGAGGACAGAUUUCACUGGACUGGUUUGAUAAUGAUAACAGUACGUGUUAUAUGGAUGCCAGCACCAGACCUACUAUCUUAUUGUUGCCUGGCCUCACUGGAACAAGCAAGGAGUCAUAUAUCCUUCAUAUGAUCCAUCUUAGUGAAGAAUUAGGAUACAGACGCCAAGGACUUACUGUUGUGCUAACACUGAAGACUUGGAGACAGUUAUUCACCAUGUACACAGCCUGUACUCUUCUGCUCCUUUCCUGGCAGCAGGGGUUUCAAUGGGAGGGUAAGGUUUUCCCUUUCUAAAAUAAUCUCUGAGAGGGAAGCUAUUUUAUUGGCUGUCUCUUUGAGAGGACUAUAAGCUAGCUAUAUGGACACUUUUUAAAUAAAUGUCUGAUUAUGUUUAUCAUAUUUUAUUAAAUGCGGCUGAUUGAAUGAACGAAGGAAGGAAAGAAUUAAUUCAGGUGAAUUUUAAUAUUUUUCUUAACUAUGGGUCUCUGUGACUGCGGAUUUUGUGAGCCUGAAGGCUUGUCCGAAGCCCAUGAAGUCGAUUG